rnacentral:rRNA from 1 species
AUACGGAGGAUCCGAGCGUUAUCCGGAUUUAUUGGGUUUAAAGGGAGCGUAGGUGGAUUGUUAAGUCAGUUGUGGAAGUUUGCGGCUCAACCGUAAAAUUGCAGUUGAAACUGGCAGUCUUGAGUACAGUAGAGGUGGGCGGAAUUCGUGGUGUAGCGGUGAAAUGCUUAGAUAUCACGAAGAACUCCGAUUGCGAAGGCAGCUCACUAGACUGUUACUGACACUGAUGCUCGAAAGUGUGGGUAUCAAACAGGAUUAGAUACCCUGGUAGUCCACACAGUAAACGGUGAAUACUCGCUGUUUGCGAUACACGGUAAGCGGCCAAGCGAAAGCGUUAAGUAUUCCACCUGGGGAGUACGCCGGCAACGGUGAAACUCAAAUGAAUUGACGGGG